GUAUUUAAGUUGAAAUGACAAGCUUUCUGGGCUUCUUGGCCUUUCAACAGGGAAAAGAAAAAGGAAUUGUGCAACCAAGUAUUUUGCUCAUUCCAGCUUCGAAAUAGUUGCAUGCCAAUGGCGUUGGUUGGUGUUUGUUCACGUCUUCCUUCGCGGUUGGCAUUGCUUAAGCCUGUACUCGAAUGGCAGUACUUGAAAACUCCCCUUGGCCGGCCCCC
rnacentral:lncRNA from 1 species